AAUGAGCAUUGAUUAUUUUUGACAAAUGUAACGGCGUGACUUGUUUUGAAUACGCGUUCACGUGCAUUUAUCUAUUUCUAUCUUCACUUGUCAUAUUCCUAGUGCGAGCUAGAGAGAGAAUCGUCGAAGAAUAAAGUGAUGGAACCUCCUCAAACACAAUCCAUUGAUGCUUCAGCCAUCGCUGGAGAUGAUGAUCCACAAGACAAGAUCAUCAACGAUUGUUGUUCUUGCUGCUAUGACUGUACUGGGGGCUUCUUCGACUACUUGUGCUGUUGAAUUAUUUCAAUUCCAUGGCAUGUAUAAUAAUUAUCAGAGAAUUGACGAUGUAUGUUGAUAAUUAUUUAUAGUAUUUAUUACUGAUUUAAAUAAUAAUUGUUUAGUCCCUUUACAAACAUUUAUCCUAGUUGUGUUGGGAAUUUUGUUGAA